AUGUUGGCUUUGGCAGUACAUAUACUAAAACUGGAAUGAUACAGAGAUGAUUAGCAUGGCCCCUAUGCAAGGAUGACACCCAACUCAUGAGCAUUUCAUAUUUUAU
rnacentral:snRNA from 1 species